rnacentral:rRNA from 1 species
UAAAUGGCCGCAGUAACCUGACUGUGCUAAGGUAGCAUAAUCAUUUGUUUAAUAAAUUUAAACUAGAAUGAAAGGAAAAAAGUAUAUUAACUGUUAAUUACAAAUCUUUUGAAAUCCUUUUUAAAGUGCAAAAACUUUAAUUAGUGACAUAAACGAGAAGACCCUAAAAAUUUUAAUCUAUUUUAUUGGGACAAUACUAUUACAUAAUUAUUAUAUGUUAAACAUUAUCUAUGCUAAUUAACUAAAUAAAAUUACUUUAGGGAUAACAGCAUAAUAACUAUAAAGAGACCUAAUCUAAAUAGUUGCUUGUGACCUCGAUGUUGAAUCAUUUUAACAAAACUUGCAGAAGAGUUUUAUCUAUCGUCUGUUCGACGAUUCUACAUUACGUGA